rnacentral:pre_miRNA from 1 species
AGAGAGAUAGCUGGGUCAAAUGGUGGUUCCAUUCCUACUUUUCCAAGAAAUAUCCAUACUGCUUUCUAUGUUGGCUGCACCAGUUUGCAGUCCCACCAGCAAU